GACGAACGCUGGCGGCGUGCCUAAUACAUGCAAGUCGAGCGGACUUGACAGAGCUUGCUCUGUUCAAGUUAGCGGCGGACGGGUGAGUAACACGUGGGCAACCUGCCCUGCAGAUUGGGAUAACUCCGGGAAACCGGGGCUAAUACCGAAUAACAUGGAAAACCUCAUGGUUUUCUUUUAAAAGGCGGCUUCGGCUGUCACUGAAGGAUGGCCCCGCGGCGCAUUAGCUAGUUGGUGAGGUAACGGCUCACCAAGGCGACGAUGCGUAGCCGACCUGAGAGGGUGAUCGGCCACACUGGGACUGAGACACGGCCCAGACUCCUACGGGAGGCAGCAGUAGGGAAUCUUCCGCAAUGGACGAAAGUCUGACGGAGCAACGCCGCGUGAGUGAAGAAGGCUUUCGGAUCGUAAAACUCUGUUGUUAGGGAAGAACAAGUACCGGAGUAACUGCCGGUACCUUGACGGUACCUGACCAGAAAGCCACGGCUAACUACGUGCCAGCAGCCGCCGUAAAAC
rnacentral:rRNA from 1 species